rnacentral:rRNA from 1 species
GACGAACGCUGGCGGCGUGCUUAACACAUGCAAGUCGAACGGAAAGGCCCUGCUUUUGUGGGGUGCUCGAGUGGCGAACGGGUGAGUAACACGUGAGUAACCUGCCCUUGACUUUGGGAUAACUUCAGGAAACUGGGGCUAAUACCGGAUAGGAGCUCCUGAUGCAUGGUGGGGGUUGGAUAGUUUCGGCGGUUGGGGAUGGACUCGCGGCUUAUCAGCUUGUUGGUGGGGUAGUGGCUUACCAAGGCUUUGACGGGUAGCCGGCCUGAGAGGGUGACCGGCCACAUUGGGACUGCGAUACGGCACAGACUCCUACGGGAGGCAGCAGUGGGGAAUAUUGCACAAUGGGCGGAAGCCUGAUGCAGCAACGCCGCGUGCGGGAUGACGGCCUUCGGGUUGUAAACCGCUUUCGCCUGUGACGAAGCGUGAGUGACGGUAAUGGGUAAAGAAGCACCGGCUAACUACGUG